rnacentral:lncRNA from 1 species
AGUAAGUGAAAGGUGUUUGUGUGUGUAUUGUGUGCAUGAUAUGGUUAGAAGACUAUACAUUCAUUAACAGAGUUAUUCUGAAAAACUCGUAAUCCAUCCAGGAAAGGGCUACCCAGAAGGUUGAAUCUAGAAAUCCUACCAUGAAGGAAUAGAAAGAGCAGGGAAAGAUAAACUUGAAUAGGAGACAAUUUAGAAAAUGAAAGCGAGAUUUUUUUUAAUUGGCUGAAAAUGUCCAAAAAGGAACUCAUGAAAAGGGACAAGGCUUCUCUGUGUGGAUACAGAAGGCAGAACGGAAGCUUGUUAUUUGAAAUGCAAUUAGACAUCUAAAAAAAUGCAAUUUACUCCUUGCUGAGUGGAGAAUUUUCUGUCACAGUGGGUGUGCAAGUAGAGAUGAAAUGCAGAGCUAUCGGGGUUGGGCCAGAUAACCUCAAGACGCUCUCAACUGCGAAAGGGUUAGAAAGAAGAAUAAAGAGUGUGCUUGACCAUGCCCAGCCCUAGCCAUCCCCAUGCCAUCCCUGGCAGGUGCUCAACAGAAGCUUCUAACAAUGUUCCACACAUUUCCUGUGUUAAACAAGUAACUCAGCUUAGCUUAUGGAGUCAAGGCCUAUCCACUUUUCCCAAAACAGCCACAAGCCCGGAGAAAUCUAGAAAAUAAUAUAGUCAUUAGCUUUAACUACGGGCUUUCAAAAUUUAUCUGUAAACACGCAUGCUAUUUUUUCAAAAGGCAGGAUUUGGCCUGAGCAACAAGCACAACUGAGAGUC